rnacentral:rRNA from 1 species
AUUGAACGCUGGCGGCAGGCUUAACACAUGCAAGUCGAGCGGGGUGAUGGUGCUUGCACUAUCACUUAGCGGCGGACGGGUGAGUAAUGCUUAGGAAUCUGCCUAUUAGUGGGGGACAACAUCUCGAAAGGGAUGCUAAUACCGCAUACGUCCUACGGGAGAAAGCAGGGGAUCACUUGUGACCUUGCGCUAAUAGAUGAGCCUAAGUCGGAUUAGCUAGUUGGUGGGGUAAAGGCCUACCAAGGCGACGAUCUGUAGCGGGUCUGAGAGGAUGAUCCGCCACACUGGGACUGAGACACGGCCCAGACUCCUACGGGAGGCAGCAGUGGGGAAUAUUGGACAAUGGGGGGAACCCUGAUCCAGCCAUGCCGCGUGUGUGAAGAAGGCCUUAUGGUUGUAAAGCACUUUAAGCGAGGAGGAGGCUCUUUUGGUUAAUACCCAAGAUGAGUGGACGUUACUCGCAGAAUAAGCACCGGCUAACUCUGUGCCAGCAGCCGCGGUAAGAC